CCUACGGGAGGCAGCAGUGGGGAAUUUUGCACAAUGGGGGAAACCCUGAUGCAGCGACGCCGCGUGAGUGAAGAAGUCUUUCGGUUCGUAAAGCUCUAUCAGCAGGGAAGAUAAUGACGGUACCUGACUAAGAAGCCCCGGCUAACUACGUGCCAGCAGCCGCGGUAAUACGUAGGUGGCUAGCGUUCUCCGGAUUUACUGGGGGAAAAGGGUGCGUAGGUGGCUGCUUAAGUCAGAGGUCAAAGGCGAGGGCGCAACCGUGGUAAGCCCUGGAAACUGGGGAGCUGGAGUGCAGGAGAGGUAAGCGGAAUUCCUGGUGUAGCGGUGAAAUGCGUAGAUAUCAGGAGGAACACCGGCGGCGAAGGCGGCUUUCUGGACUGUAACUGACGUUGAGGCACGAAAGCGUGGGGAGCAAACAGGAUUAGAUACCCCAGUAGUC
rnacentral:rRNA from 1 species